CAACAAUUUUAGUUAUAAGCUGGAGAGGCAUCAGUUUGAAGUAAUAGAGGAGGAAAAGGACGUUGGAGUAUUGGUUGAUCACAGGAUGACUUUGAGCUGCCAACGUGAUAUGGCUGUGAAAAAAGCUAA